rnacentral:pre_miRNA from 2 species
ACGUAGGGCAAUCUCUCUGUAAGUAGGGAUAAAUUACUCUGAAAAAAAAAAAAAAAAGAAUCCUAGAUAGUUUUCCCUUCAAGUGUCUUGU